AGGCAGAUCCAGUGUGUGUAUAGUGUACUGUGGUUGGCCCCACUCAGAACUCAGUAGCAACGCUUACUUCAUCGAUGAGGUAAUCCUGUACCAAUGGCUGCUGCAGUGACAUAAGUCGUGUCUUACUGGGUGGAUCAAGCGAUAGUUCCGGAUAAGGCGCGCGGUUGGUUCGCCGGGGUUUCGUGGUCCCGACGAUGUAGGAGGAGUGAUCAUCUAGAGGAAGUAAAAGUCGUAACAAGCUCUUCGUUGGUGAACCAGCGGAGGGAUCAUUACAGAGUUGCAAAACUCCCAAACCCUUGUGAACAUACCUGUACGUCGUUGCUUCGGCGGGUAGCCCAUUUCAGGGCCCAGCCUCCUUGUGAGGUGCCCGCCGGAGGACCAAACACAAACUCUUGUAAUAAUUGGCCUCUCUGAGUAUUAUACAAAUAAGUUAAAACUUUCGACAACGGAUCUCUUGGUUCUGGCAUCGAUGAAGAACGCAGCGAAAUGCGAUAAGUAAUGUGAAUUGCAGAAUUCAGUGAAUCAUCGAAUCUUUGAACGCACAUUGCGCCCGCCAGUAUUCUGGCGGGCAUGCCUGUUCGAGCGUCAUUUCAACCCUCAAGCCCAGCUUGGUGUUGGGGCAUUGCGGCCUGCCGCAAGCCCUGAAAAUCAUUGGCGGGCUCGCUAUAACUCCGAGCGUAGUAAUACAUCUCGCUAAGGAAGAGUGGCGGGCACUUGCCGUAAAACCCCCUAUUUUUAUAUGGUUGACCUCGGAUCAGGUAGGAAUACCCGCUGAACUUAAGCAUAUCAAUAAGCGGAGGA
rnacentral:rRNA from 1 species